CCUACGGGUGGCAGCAGUGAGGAAUAUUGGUCAAUGGACGAGAGUCUGAACCAGCCAAGUAGCGUGAAGGAUGACUGCCCUAUGGGUUGUAAACUUCUUUUAUAUGGGACUAAAAUGUUCCACGUGUGGGAUUUUGUCUGUACCAUAUGAAUAAGGAUCGGCUAACUCCGUGCCAGCAGCCGCGGUAAUACGGAGGAUCCGGGCGUUAUCCGGAUUUAUUGGGUUUAAAGGGAGCGUAGGUGGAUGUGUAAGUCAGUUGUGAAAGUUUGCGGCUCAACCGUAAAAUUGCAGUUGAAACUGGCAGGCUUGAGUACAGUAGAGGUGGGCGGAAUUAGUGGUGUAGCGGUGAAAUGCUGAGAUAUUACGAAGAACUCCGAUUGCGAAGGCAGUUCACUGGACUGCAACUGACACUGAGGCUCGAAAGUGUGGGGAUCAAACAGGAUUAGAUACCCGAGUAGUC
rnacentral:rRNA from 1 species